GGAUUGUGCUGGCAGACCUGCUUCUGUUAAUCCACUCCUACACACUCAGAAGUCGAGGAAACAGGAACAGUGACGACAAAGAGAACAUUUUGUUUGCUCAGUCAGAGAGGCAGCAGCAUGGAGAGAUUUCCAAAGUCAAGAGG